rnacentral:ncRNA from 1 species
CGACAAAGGCAAACCGCCGGAAACGGCGGGACGCAAAACCACCGGCCUUCUCCCCUCGGGGCAAGGCAGCGGAGUUGCCGAA